GGUUUCUUGUUAAAAUAAGAGAUUUGACCUGCCCACUGAAAAUUAUUGUUGAAGGGCCGCAGUAUUUUGACUGUGCAAAGGUAGCAUAAUCAUUAGUCUUUUAAUUGAAGGCUGGAAUGAAUGGUUGGACGAGGUAACAACUAUCCAAUAUUAAUGAGUGGAAUUUAAUUUUUGAAUAAAAAAGUUCAAAUGAUUUUGAGUGACGAGAAGACCCUAUAGAGUUUAACAUAAUUUGUUAAUAAUAAUUUGUUAAAAAUAUGAUUUAUUUAUUAUUAUAAAUUGAUGUUUUGUUGGGGUGAUUGGAAAAUAGAAAAAACUUUUCCUUUUAAUUAAUAUUAAUGAGUAGAAUAGUGAGUUGAUCCAUUAAAAGUGAUUAUAAGAUUAAAUUACCUUAGGGAUAACAGCGUAAUCUUUUUUGAGAGUUCUUAUUGAGAAGAAGGUUUGCGACCUCGAUGUUGGAUUAAGAUAAAUGUUGAAUGCAGCUGUUCAAAUUAUUAGGUCUGUUCGACCUUGAAAAUCUUACA
rnacentral:rRNA from 1 species